UGGGCUUGACAUGUACAUGCCGGCCGUGGAAACACGGCUUUCCAGCUUGCUGGACGUGUACACAGGUGCUGCAUGGCUGUCGUCAGCUCGUGCCGUGAGGUGUUCGGUUAAGUCCGGCAACGAGCGCAACCCGUGUCGCCAGUUACCAUCGGGUAAAGCCGGGGACUCUGGCGAGACUGCCCGUGUCAAGCGGGAGGAAGGCGCGGAUGACGUCAAGUCCGUAUGGCCCUUACGUCCAGGGCUGCACACGUGCUACAAUGGGCGGCACAAUGGGAAGCAAAACCGCGAGGUGGAGCCAAUCCCCAAAACCGUCCUCAGUUCGGAUUGGAGUCUGCAAUUCGACUCCAUGAAGCCGGAAUCGCUAGUAAAGGCGCAUCAGCAACGGCGCCUUGAAUACGUUCCCGGGCCU
rnacentral:rRNA from 1 species